GACGAACGCUUGCGGCGUGCUUAACACAUGCAAGUCGAACGGAAAGGCCCUGCUUUUGUGGGGUGCUCGAGUGGCGAACGGGUGAGCAACACGUGAGUAACCUGCCCUUGACUUUGGGAUAACUUCAGGAAACUGGGGCUAAUACCGGAUAGGAGCUCCUGCUGCAUGGUGGGGGUUGGAAAGUUUCGGCGGUUGGGGAUGGACUCGCGGCUUAUCAGCUUGUUGGUGGGGUAGUGGCUUACCAAGGCUUUGACGGGUAGCCGGCCUGAGAGGGUGACCGGCCACAUUGGGACUGAGAUACGGCCCAGACUCCUACGGGAGGCAGCAGUGGGGAAUAUUGCACAAUGGGCGGAAGCCUGAUGCAGCAACGCCGCGUGCGGGAUGACGGCCUUCGGGUUGUAAACCGCUUUCGCCUGUGACGAAGCGUGAGUGACGGUAAUGGGUAAAGAAGCACCGGCUAACUACGUGCCAGCAGCCGCGGUGAUACGUAGGGUGCGAGCGUUGUCCGGAUUUAUUGGGCGUAAAGGGCUCGUAGGUGGUUGAUCGCGUCGGAAGUGUAAUCUUGGGGCUUAACCCUGAGCGUGCUUUCGAUACGGGUUGACUUGAGGAAGGUAGGGGAGAAUGGAAUUCCUGGUGGAGCGGUGGAAUGCGCAGAUAUCAGGAGGAACACCAGUGGCGAAGGCGGUUCUCUGGGCCUUUCCUGACGCUGAGGAGCGAAAGCGUGGGGAGCGAACAGGCUUAGAUACCCUGGUAGUCCACGCUGUAAACGGUGGGUACUAGGUGUGGGGUCCAUUCCACGGGUUCCGUGCCGUAGCUAACGCUUUAAGUACCCCGCCUGGGGAGUACGGCCGCAAGGCUAAAACUCAAAGGAAUUGACGGGGCCCCGCACAAGCGGCGGAGCAUGCGGAUUAAUUCGAUGCAACGCGUAGAACCUUACCUGGGUUUGACAUGGAUCGGGAGUGCUCAGAGAUGGGUGUGCCUCUUUUGGGGUCGGUUCACAGGUGGUGCAUGGCUGUCGUCAGCUCGUGUCGUGAGAUGUUGGGUUAAGUCCCGCAACGAGCGCAACCCUUGUUCACUGUUGCCAGCACGUUAUGGUGGGGACUCAGUGGAGACCGCCGGGGUCAACUCGGAGGAAGGUGGGGAUGACGUCAAGUCAUCAUGCCCCUUAUGUCCAGGGCCUCACGCAUGCUACAAUGGCUGGUACAGAGAGUGGCGAGCCUGUGAGGGUGAGCGAAUCUCGGAAAGCCGGUCUCAGUUCGGAUUGGGGUCUGCAACUCGACCUCAUGAAGUCGGAGUCGCUAGUAAUCGCAGAUCAGCAACGCUGCGGUGAAUACGUUCCCGGG
rnacentral:rRNA from 1 species